AAACUGCGAAUGGCUCAUUAAAUCAGUUAUCGUUUAUUUGAUAGUACCCUACUACAUGGAUAACCGUGGUAAUUCUAGAGCUAAUACAUGCUAAAAACCCCGACUUCGGAAGGGGUGUAUUUAUUAGAUAAAAAACCAAUGCCCUUCGGGGCUCCUUGGUGAAUCAUAAUAACUUAACGAAUCGCAUGGCCUUGCGCCGGCGAUGGUUCAUUCAAAUUUCUGCCCUAUCAACUUUCGAUGGUAGGAUAGUGGCCUACCAUGGUUUCAACGGGUAACGGGGAAUUAGGGUUCGACUCCGGAGAGGGAGCCUGAGAAACGGCUACCACAUCCAAGGAAGGCAGCAGGCGCGCAAAUUACCCAAUCCCGACACGGGGAGGUAGUGACAAUAAAUACUGAUCCAGGGCUCUUUCGGGUCUUGGAAUUGGAAUGAGUACAAUUUAAAUCCCUUAACGAGGAACAAUUGGAGGGCAAGUCUGGUGCCAGCAGCCGCGGUAAUUCCAGCUCCAAUAGCGUAUAUUAAAGUUGUUGCAGUUAAAAAGCUCGUAGUUGAACCUUGGGCCUGGCUGGCCGGUCCGCCUCACCGCGUGUACUGGUCCGGCCGGGCCUUUCCUUCUGGGGAGCCGCAUGGCCUUCACUGGCCGUGUCGGGGAACCAGGACUUUUACUUUGAAAAAAUUAGAGUGUUCAAAGCAGGCCUUUGCUCGGAUACAUUAGCAUGGAAUAAUAGAAUAGGACGUGCGGUUCUAUUUUGUUGGUUUCUAGGACCGCCGUAAUGAUUAAUAGGGAUAGUCGGGGGCAUCUGUAUUCAAUUGUCAGAGGUGAAAUUCUUGGAUUUAUUGAAGACAAACUACUGCGAAAGCAUUUGCCAAGGAUGUUUUCAUUAAUCAGUGAACGAAAGUUAGGGGAUCGAAGACGAUCAGAUACCGUCGUAGUCUUAACCAUAAACUAUGCCGACUAGGGAUCGGUGGAUGUUACUAUUUUGACUCCAUCGGCACCUUACGAGAAAUCAAAGUUUUUGGGU
rnacentral:rRNA from 1 species